CACAAGCGGUGGAGCAUGUGGUUUAAUUCGAUGCAACGCGAAGAACCUUACCAGGUCUGACAUCCCACGAAUUCAUCUGAAAGGAUGGAGUGCCUUCGGGAGCGUGGAGACAGGUGGUGCAUGGUUGUCGUCAGCUCGUGUCGUGAGAUGUUGGGUUAAGUCCCGCAACGAGCGCAACCCUUGCUAUUAGUUGCUAACAGGUAGAGCUGAGCACUCUAAUGGGACUGCCGGUGACAAGCCGGAGGAAGGUGGGGAUGACGUCAAAUCAUCAUGCCCUUUAUGACCUGGGCUACACACGUGCUACAAUGGAUGGUACAGAGAGCAGCGAGGCAGCGAUGUGGAGCGAAUCUCAAAAAGCCAUUCUCAGUUCGGAUUGGAGUCUGCAACUCGACUCCAUGAAGUCGGAAUCGCUAGUAAUCGCGAAUCAGCAUGUCGCGGUGAAUGCGUUCCCGGGCCUU
rnacentral:rRNA from 1 species